rnacentral:lncRNA from 1 species
AUUGCUAAUGUUACUUGAUGAUGUGUUUAGGUCCAAUUGACUAGAACGUCAUGUCUGAUGUAGAGUUAAAUAUAUCUAGUUGUUACACCUAAGAAUUGUGAUGUCUUGCUUUAAGUCUGUAUCCUCCUUAGUAUAACUUAUCUAUCUUGUGCUAUUUAUGCUCCUAUUCACUCAUAUGCAUUAUGCAUAUCAUCUAGGUACGUUAAUUAAUCACGUGAUGUGGAGCACAAGAGCUGGAUUAAUCAUAAGACGAUGCUGAUGGACGAAGCUAAAGUGGAUGAAUCAAUCAAGUGCCAGGAUGGAAGAUGCUCACCAAGUGGUCGUCAUUUAACAACACUAACGUAGUGUUAUCCCAGGCAAGCCCCGGUGCAUUUGCCACCUCCUUGUUGUUUUAAAACUUUUAUCACUUAUAUGCUGCAUUAGGUGAUAGGAGUUGAGUGAUGAAACACUUGAUACAUUGCCAUUCCUUGGAAUUUGAUUAUCCUCCUUGAUACCUGUUUUAUAAAAAGAACUAAUGAGGCUUAGCCCUGCCUAGAGAAUUAAAAUUUGUUUCUUUUUAAAAGAAUGAUGUGUGACACUGGGUAUGGGUUUGUUUUAUGAAAAAGGACUUGUAAUGUUGAGCGCAUCAUCUGCAGUGAUGAAUUCAUCAUUCAAGUAUGGUACCUCUGUCAGGUACAUGGUUUGGGUGUUAAAUAAUAAGAUGAGACCAGACGUUGAGCAGGAAAGGUCGCCCGUCUGUGUCGCUUAAGGACCGUUCCGAUUGUUGGUCUGCUGGUCUAGGACCCUUUAACUGGCCACAUGCCUCAUCAUGGGUAAGCUUAGCCUCGGUCGGACCAAUACCAGAACAGCUCGCACGCACUGGGAGUGGAGCGAUGGCGAGAGUAGCUUGUACCCUCCGUGGCAAGAGACUGGAAGGUGGGGUGCUGUACUCUCGGAAACAUGGCGGGCACCAUGGCGAGAGUAACGUGUACCAACCAGGCCAAUGGCUGGACGGUGGAGUACUGUGCUCUCGGGUCGCGUGAACCCGUUCUGGUCUUGAGAAACCUGUGGGCGAGUUGACAUAUGCAAGGGUUAAGUGCUACAUAUGUCGUGUGGUUGGAGAUCCUCAGCUGAGUAUUAAUCGAUUCGGAUCGCCGUUACUUCUCGGAUAUGAAGACUGGAUCACUGCCCUGCAUCGUAGAUAACAAGUGAAACUAAAGUUGAUAAAAGGAAGCUAGUGUAGGACAAGUGAAUGCUCUAGAUUAGGCAAAUCUAGAUUCAGGAAAAGUACUUAACUUGUGAAGUAAAAUUUUGGCAUAAGGAUCCACUACUAGUAAGCUCUUUUGCAAAAUGAGUCUAUGAAAUUUGAUAAGCUUUACCUUGAUUCCCAAUAAACCAGCAUACCCUUGAGAGUCUUUUCUUUAGUCGGGUAAGUCUUGCUGAGUAAUUGCGUACUCAGGGUUUUAUUCCCUGUUGUUUUUCAGGUUAUAAUUUUGUUCUGUUGUGGAUGCUGCUAAGUGCCGGUGGGCUCGGCCUUCUUAUAUAGGUGUAUCCCAUCUUUAGCUUCUUUAUUGAGGAUUGUCACUUAAGCUAGCAUGUAUUUUAAAACCUAUAAAUAUUUUAUACAUUUUAAAUUGUAAUUCUUUUGAAUCACUUUCUUUUGUAAUCACUCCGAUAAUUGUAUAAUGUAAACUUAUUGUAACAUGUAAUCAUUUUGUAAUAAAGAAUUUAUUUCCGCUGCAAAUGUUGGUGUGUGAUUUGUGUUUACUUAAUCCUGCGAUCUUGGCGGUAAGUCGUUUAUCCGGGGUCCUCGGGGCACUCGGACAGAUCCUGUUAAGUUGUUUGGUGCACACGCAUAGCUGUCUGAGGUCUUUGAGACAAGGACAGGUGCAUGUGGGCCCGAUAACUUGGGAGGUUCUGCGACAGCUGGUAUUGGAGCUUGAUUAAGUAUGAUACAGUCACAUACGUACUUUAAAAACAAAGUUUUGGUUUUGAAAAAACCUAUUUUCGACUAAACACAUUGUUUGGCUUUGAAAAUCAGUUUUGAAAAACUAUAAUGCUAGCGACAUCCUCUGUUAAGCCCUAAAUUAAGGACUACUAGGUGGCUUAGUUCAGAAUACUAACUCAUAACCUGGGAAGGGUAACGCAUACAUGUGUAAUGUUAUUUUUGAGGCCAUUCAGUUUUGAAUGGAUCGACGCUCAAGGUAAGGUGAGAUGUGAGAGCAUGACCGAACAAACGUCGGUCUAGGGGAGAGUAUAAAAAGCGCUUGAUUAUAUACAUGUUACACAUAUGUAUAUAUGAAGGCUGCGAUGUGGAGUAUUUACUUUUCCGGGAUUCAGUACCCCAUGGAUGUGUAUGGCUAUACAGAUAUGGGAAUACUGAAAAGUGUAAUGUACCACAAUGGGCUGCCCUGUGGUUAAAGUGUGGCAGCGGCGCCUAUGCGUGGCUCGACGCUUAAUGAUGAGCUGGCCUCCAUAUAGCAAUAUAUGGAGUAUAAACUGUGAUAAACUGUCAUGUGUGAAUUGCAUCAUUGGGAAUUGGGCUGUGAUGGAAUUUUCUGCAGGUACACUAACUUCGAACUCGUAUGUGUAGCUGACGACUAGCAAUAUAUCGAGAGAGACGUAGGUAUGCCACCGAUAUAGAACGAUAUUGCCACAUUAUGUUGGCAAAAUUCGUGAGAACUAAUAGGACGAGCAUGCAUCCUGAUUAUUGCAUUGUGUUUGUUGUUUGUGCACAAAUAUGCUUCUCUCACCCUUAUUCUAAUAAUUGGUGAUUGUGAACGAACAUGCUUUUCGAACAUGCUUUUCUCAUCUUUAUUCCGAUAAUAAAUAAUUGGAAAAUAUGUGACGCAUUACUAUCCUAUAAGCAAAUUUCUAGUCUUGUUUGUUGGGUCCUUUAGACAUGUAUUUAUGUGGCAUAUGGUUCUUCUUAGUUUGACCGCUAGUCCAACUUGUGUUUGUUCUGGUGUGUUUGUGCCGGUAGAAUGUUGGUGGUAUGUUUGUGUAAACUAAAAAUUUGGCCAUGUCCUCAUCUAGGAGCCAUGACCCAAAUCGAUGUUAAUUCCCUGAAAUUUUUCCCCAGCUUCCAAACGUGGACGAGUCUGAAUUUUUCCAUCAUUACUUUGUGAUCAAGGUCAUAUAAAUAGAUGUUUAGGUAAUCCCCUUGUUGGACAUAAGAUGCACUCAAACUUAAAGAUAAGGAUCUCGGGUCUGUGAUCCUGACAAUUCACUUGUAGCUCUCUUAUGGUCAUAUUUUCAUCCUAAACCAUACCCUUGUUUGGUUGGUGCAAGCUGAUGUUUCUAUUCUGCUUUGCCUCUCCAUGAGAAUUACAUUGUUGCUUUCUCAAUAUAAUCUAGGAAAGGAAUGCCCAAUAAAUUUUCUUGAAUUUAAUGCCUUUGAUUUCCUCAUAUCUCUCGAAGGCAUACCAAUUUAAUCUUCUGAUCGUUUUCCCCUCUAUAUCUAAUCAGACCCUAAUCGUUGACUUGAUAAUCUCUGCGAUGGACAUAGAAAUAUGCUCGGGGCUGAAUUAACAGUCUCCCAUUAUACUCCUUUCAUCAAGUUUAGGUUAUGGCCAUGCCAUGUUCACUUCAUCGGGCCAUGAUCUAUUGGCUCUCUACUUGUAGCCAUUUUGACUGGGGGAGUCUCUUUUGUAUAUAGUCACCCUUGCUUAGUCUAUCUGUGCCAUGCGAGAUUUCUUAUUGGUUAUGUCAGAUAAUGGUGUUAUGACUAAAACUGGUGGUGCCGUGACGAAAUCGAGGGCCUUCUGUGGGUGCGCACACAUGGUUGUGCUACUCGGCACGCGCUGGUAUCACAGUUAGUAGUUGUAAUCCAUUAUGAGACUAUGUCAAUGCGUUAUCUUGGCACAAUCUAUUUUUGCUACGUGAGAUUGUUAUUGGUGUCAGUUCGGUAGUGGUGUCACGAUUAAGGACUUAUGGUGCCGCAGCGAAACUGAGAGCCUCCUUUGAAUGCGCACACAGGGAUGUGCUACUCGUCGGAUGCUGGUAUCAAGGUCUCUAGUCAUGAUCCAUUGUGGAACUACACUGAUGUGUGAUCUUCCGUGGACUCCUCCCUUGAAACAAUUUCUAUGUUGUUUGUCAAGUGAUCAAGCAACAUCUAUCAUCUCUAUUGGAUCAAACGGAUAUACCACUUUCAUGUGUGGUCACAUGUCUUUUGACUCAAGUGGUGACUGCACACAUACAAGUUCCCUUUGCAUCCUUUAUUGUAAAGGUGAAGCCUUGAAGCUUUUUAGUGUUGGGAGACAACCUCUUGAUAUGAUGUUCUCCACCUGGAACUACCUUAUGCUAUCACUGGUAUGGACAGGAGUUACAUGUUUCUCUACUCUUAAAAGUCUUUCGCUCCGAAUCUCGGGACGAGAUUCUUUUAAGGGGGAAGGGUUGUAACACCCCAGGUGUUUAUCGUCUGCUCGACCACUAGUGCGGACGUUAACACGUGAUAGUUGUGAAUGUAAAGGUCACUAAUUUUUAAUCAACCUCGUUUAUCACGAUUUUGAUAUCGUGUCUAUCUCCAUCUGUCUAAAUUGACCUAAUUUAUUUUGUAAAAUUCAGACUUUGGUAAUUUUCGGAACAUCGAAUCCAGUAUCGUUUGGGUUGAGCCAUCGACGUCUUGCCCAAACUCUAAUCUUUGAAAUCGAAUCCGGUUUCUUAAACUUCGUUUAAAAUUAUGGAUUAAUGGAACAUUAAUUUGGAAUCUCGACUCACUCUUGCGAUUUUGGUCCAAGCAAAUAUUAUUAGAACUCGACGACAACAAUAUUGAUGCAAAAAUUAAAUCAGACCGAGAUUAGAGCCGAUAUUGAGUACUUGUAAUUAAUUUGUUUCCCUGUUCAGACUGCGAAUGAAUUACCAGAUUUCAGACUUAAAAUAUCUGCAUUUUUUUUCCUUUUGUUAAGUGUUUGGAGAAACAAAAAUCUGAAUCCUCCUCAUCCUUUCCACCGCUUAUGUCUUCUAGCCUUAUCUCCUCUCUAUUCCUACGUGAAGAAGCCAAACUCGCUCACAUCGCUCUCUCUCCCUGCCUGCUUGCACUCGCCCUCAGCUCCCAGGCAUGGAGCUCGCCCAAGCUCCGUCUCCCAGCGCUCUCCCUCACAGCCGCGCUCUCCUCCACCUGCAACUCGCCCCUAUCUCCUCCUCUCCCCAUGGCGGCUCCCCCUGGAUCCCUCCCUGCGCAGACCCUCUCCCGUGGCUGGUGUCGUCCCUUCCUGCAGCCGGCCGUCGUUUCCCCUCACUGCUCUUGGAGUCAGUCGUCCCCGCCGUGAUGCCCUACCCCAACAGCAAACAGGUCGUCACAUCUGCUCCCCAUGCUCAGCUCGCCCCUGCUCCCUAACGGCAUCACCUGCAGCAGCCGCGUCUUCUCGCUCCCUUUCCCAAUCUCGCACCAGCGCCUGUCCUCCAGCCGCCCCCAUGGCUCCCCUGGCCCUCACCUCUCACGUCAGCACUAGCCCAGUUGUGGUACAGCAGUAGCAUGCUGGAUCUCUGUAGUCCUGAUGAGGAGAAGAAAGCUUUAGUGUGGCGCUUGUCAAGUGUUUGAUAAAAAGGCUGAACCUGGAAUCGUUGUUGUGUCCUCCCUGUCAGAGUCAUCUGGGUCCAUGGUAAGUUGUUUUACUCAUUUUGUUCACUACCUUAAUGAAUAGAUAUAUUGGUCCAUGAUUCUCUUGUCCAUUGCCUAGGUGUGCGGUGGUGAUAGCUUCUAGGUCUUUGUUGUUGUUUGUGUCAAUUCCAUGGCAUCGUAAGGGAAGGCACUCCCUCUUCCCUUUUAUGUUCAUGUCGUUGUUAGUGUAUUAGAUAAUUGAUGAAAUAUCGUAGUUGGGUGCAAAAACAUGAUUGUGGUAGUUUGACUUUUGUGAUUUGUAUUCUUGCAAAGGGACUUGACUUUGAAAUAUUGCAAAUAUGUAUAAGGUAUUCUUGGCAUGAUUUUAGCCAUCUCUUAGUUGUUACUGUAUUGCAUGGAGGAGCUGUAGCUAUAGUUUAGAAUUAAAUUAAUCAACGUCAUUUGAUAGAGAACCUGGUAGGUUGUGGGGUUGUAAUUUUAAUACUUGCUCAGUUGGUCCCAUCCUGGUAGCGAUAGAAACACUAGUGAGAUGUUUAUGAUCUCAAUACGUCUCAUUUGACUAUGUUUUCCUUUCUUUGUUGUAUAAUUCUUUUUUCUCUGAGAAUCUCAUAUGUUCAUGAUCUGCAGCUGAGCAAGUUUGUUUGUUCCUCUAUGUUUUAACGAUGCAAGAUAUAUUAAUAAUUUGCUAGCAGGAAUCCUGCUGUUGAUAGUGUCUAGAUUCAAAUUGGCUCCUUCGGGUUCAUAUUCAUGCAGUGUAGUUCAUAUACGUGUUGAUAUGUGGUCCAUGGUAGUGUUGGGCAAUCUGGAUGCAAGCUGGAAUAAUGUGAUUGUUUCUGUUUUUGUAAUUCUCUCAUAUCUCCAAAUUGCUAUGUUCACUCAUCUUGUUGUGACGGUGGUUUGGUUAGAUUAAUUUCACAAUAGGAUAGAUGUUGCCUGCCUUACAUAGUGGUUUAGGCAUUGAGGGUGACAAUAGUAUAUUAACAUCUAAUAUGUAUGAUUUUCAUAUUGCACUAUCUACACAGACUAUACGUUGGCUGUUUUGUAGCUUUGUUCUUCCUAAAACUUCUUAUAGCGUUGUCCUUCUCAUGGCAUAUUUAGUGCUUGCUAUUUGGACUGCAUGACUAGUUUUAGUUAUGCCACUAGUUCAAUGAAGUAAACCAUGUUUUCUGUAGAAAUGUUAUAUAGGAAAGUUGUAGAUAACUUCUUUAUCUUAAUUGUGUAAAAGUUUCAUGACCAUAGGCUUAGCAGUUUAGAAGUUAUGAUUUUUCCAAGUCCAGUUUCUAAAUCUGUCUAAAUUCUGUACUGAUUUCGAAAAUUGCCUUGUUUGACUAAAUUAAACUGAGAAUCAGCCCUUAGUAAUUAUAGAAUAAUUGUAGUAAUUUUCUUAAGCUUUCCAAUAAAUUUUGGAUCACCCAUUUUGGUGGUCUAGAAGUCAAGUUAUAGCUGUUUGAAAUAUGAAGUCUGAAUCUGUCCAAAUCUGGACAGAAGAGACUGUUUGUAUUAACUGACUUAGAUACACAUUAAAUUAACCUGGGAUGAUUAUAAAUGAAUUAUAGACAAUUCUAUUAGCUUUCUAAAAAGUCUAGGAUCGCCUGAUUUGGAUUUCUGAAACUCCAGUUAUGGAUUUUUGAAGUAAGUAGUCGAAUUCUGUCCAAAUCUGGACAUAAUUAAAGUUUAGCACUGUUUGACCUUUUAAACUGUCGAAUCUCAUUAUGAUGAUAAUACCAAAGUUGUAGAGGACUUUAUAAGCUUUCCAAAAAGUCUUAGUUUACUAUUUUUGGAUGCAUAUUUUGUGAGUUAUGAAUAAAACAAUUGACUACUGUGCUGCUGUCCAGAAAAUCUGCACACGUUAAACUGAUUACUUAGAAUCAUUCUUGCUUGGCUAGAUAGGAUUAAUUAGUUCUUGGUUCUUGAUUGGUGAAGUCUUGAAGUAGCUAACCUCAAGUGAACAUGUGUCUCAUGUUUAAUGUGUUUAGUUAUUGUUACAUAAUGUUUGGAUUAGGUCCGAUUACCUCAAAGUUCAUGAUUGUAUAAAGUCAGAAGUAUCUAGUGUUUAUGCAUAUAAGUGUUUUAAACCUUUAAAUUAAGAUAAAUACUAUACUAUAAAAUUCUAUGCUUGUUAAUAAUGAGUUGUUCCUUAGUACUAAGAGUGGUGUUAAUCAUUCGGUAGGAUAUUCUAGUUCAUGAGGUUGGAGUUAUAUGUAGCCUUUUUGAUGCUUGAGUUCGAUCCGUUUAAAUGAAAAAAAUGUAAUUGUGAUACAUAGUGAUAUGUCAACAUAUAGUAAUUGUUUUUAAAUAUUGUGGUACAUCAGUGUUAUAUUUAUUCUAAAUAUAUUAGGAUUUGUAUAUUGCUAAUGUUACUUGAUGAUGUGUUUAGGUCCAAUUGACUAGAACGUCAUGUCUGAUGUAGAGUUAAAUAUAUCUAGUUGUUACACCUAAGAAUUGUGAUGUCUUGCUUUAAGUCUGUAUCCUCCUUAGUAUAACUUAUCUAUCUUGUGCUAUUUAUGCUCCUAUUCACUCAUAUGCAUUAUGCAUAUCAUCUAGGUACGUUAAUUAAUCACGUGAUGUGGAGCACAAGAGCUGGAUUAAUCAUAAGACGAUGCUGAUGGACGAAGCUAAAGUGGAUGAAUCAAUCAAGUGCCAGGAUGGAAGAUGCUCACCAAGUGGUCGUCAUUUAACAACACUAACGUAGUGUUAUCCCAGGCAAGCCCCGGUGCAUUUGCCACCUCCUUGUUGUUUUAAAACUUUUAUCACUUAUAUGCUGCAUUAGGUGAUAGGAGUUGAGUGAUGAAACACUUGAUACAUUGCCAUUCCUUGGAAUUUGAUUAUCCUCCUUGAUACCUGUUUUAUAAAAAGAACUAAUGAGGCUUAGCCCUGCCUAGAGAAUUAAAAUUUGUUUCUUUUUAAAAGAAUGAUGUGUGACACUGGGUAUGGGUUUGUUUUAUGAAAAAGGACUUGUAAUGUUGAGCGCAUCAUCUGCAGUGAUGAAUUCAUCAUUCAAGUAUGGUACCUCUGUCAGGUACAUGGUUUGGGUGUUAAAUAAUAAGAUGAGACCAGACGUUGAGCAGGAAAGGUCGCCCGUCUGUGUCGCUUAAGGACCGUUCCGAUUGUUGGCCUGCUGGUCUAGGACCCUUUAACUGGCCACAUGCCUCAUCAUGGGUAAGCUUAGCCUCGGUCGGACCAAUACCAGAACAGCUCGCACGCACUGGGAGUGGAGCGAUGGCGAGAGUAGCUUGUACCCUCCGUGGCAAGAGACUGGAAGGUGGGGUGCUGUACUCUCGGAAACAUGGCGGGCACCAUGGCGAGAGUAACGUGUACCAACCAGGCCAAUGGCUGGACGGUGGAGUAUUGUGCUCUCGGGUCGCGUGAACCCGUUCUGGUCUUGAGAAACCUGUGGGCGAGUUGACAUAUGCAAGGGUUAAGUGCUACAUAUGUCGUGUGGUUGGAGAUCCUCAGCUGAGUAUUAAUCGAUUCGGAUCGCCGUUACUUCUCGGAUAUGAAGACUGGAUCACUGCCCUGCAUCGUAGAUAACAAGUGAAACUAAAGUUGAUAAAAGGAAGCUAGUGUAGGACAAGUGAAUGCUCUAGAUUAGGCAAAUCUAGAUUCAGGAAAAGUACUUAACUUGUGAAGUAAAAUUUUGGCAUAAGGAUCCACUACUAGUAAGCUCUUUUGCAAAAUGAGUCUAUGAAAUUUGAUAAGCAUUACCUUGAUUCCCAAUAAACCAGCAUACCCUUGAGAGUCUUUUCUUUAGUCGGGUAAGUCUUGCUGAGUAAUUGCGUACUCAGGGUUUUAUUCCCUGUUGUUUUUCAGGUUAUAAUUUUGUUCUGUUGUGGAUGCUGCUAAGUGCCGGUGGGCUCGGCCUUCUUAUAUAGGUGUAUCCCAUCUUUAGCUUCUUUAUUGAGGAUUGUCACUUAAGCUAGCAUGUAUUUUAAAACCUAUAAAUAUUUUAUACAUUUUAAAUUGUAAUUCUUUUGAAUCACUUUCUUUUGUAAUCACUCCGAUAAUUGUAUAAUGUAAACUUAUUGUAACAUGUAAUCAUUUUGUAAUAAAGAAUUUAUUUCCGCUGCAAAUGUUGGUGUGUGAUUUGUGUUUACUUAAUCCUGCGAUCUUGGCGGUAAGUCGUUUAUCCGGGGUCCUCGGGGCACUCGGACAGAUCCUGUUAAGUUGUUUGGUGCACACGCAUAGCUGUCUGAGGUCUUUGAGACAAGGACAGGUGCAUGUGGGCCCGAUAACUUGGGAGGUUCUGCGACAGCUUCUGUAAUGUAGACAUUCUCACAAUAAUUAUAAACUUUUAUAAUGAUACACAGUGAAAAUGACUCAACUCGAAUCCAUUGGUUUUUUCUAUAG